rnacentral:lncRNA from 1 species
CCUGAAAUGUAAAUUGUUUUUAAUAUAUUUAAGAGCACACAGAAGUCUUGAUUUAUAAAAAAAUAAAUAUAUAACAUGACAAAUUUACUGAUGAUCCUGGAGCUCUGAGGUCAAACUCUUUAAAUGAUCAGUGAAAACAUAAAACAUCCAUGAUCUGUUAACACACACAGGAGCAUAUUCCAGUUGUAAAAAACAAAUUCCUUGAAGGCUCAGAACGAACAAAAAUCAGUCUUUAUGGCAGAAAGCACAUCCAAAGCUAGGCAAUGAAGUUCAGCCUGGGCCACGUGAACCUUUCACCAGCCAGCCUAUAACCUAUGGAGCCAGGACAGGAAAGCAUGAUCCUUCAGCUCAUGACGCCACCCAGGCUUCCAGACAACUGCAGAAUGAAAGAGUCCCUCAGAGGCUCCCCAGCCCCUGCUGCCAUCAUAAAGCACGGGAGGGAUUGUUUCCAACAAGUGAGACAGGGGCCUUGCUUCACCCAUCUCUGUAUCUUAAGAACCUAGCACAGACCUGACACUAACCAUGUAGUUGGUGAAUAUCUGCUGAAUGAACGCGCAUAAAGCAAGGAAGGACAAUUUAAUCCCAGCACUUUGGGAGGCCAAGAUGGGAGGCUGGCUUGAGCUCAGGAGUUCGAGACCAGCCUGGGCAAUAUAGCAAGACCUCGACUCUACUAAAAAAAAUAAAAUAAAUAAAAAAUUGGCUGGGCGUGGUGGUGCUUGCCUGUCGUCCCAGCUACUCCAGAGGCUGAGGCAGAAGGAUCUCUUGAGCUCGGGAGUUCGAGGCUGCAGUGAGCAGUGAUUGCACCACUGCACUCCAGCCUAGGCGACAGAGAGAGAGACCCUGUGUCCAAAAAAAAAAAAAAAAAAAAACCCCAAAAUUAUAGCUAAUAUCGAAUGCUUUUUAAAGCAGGCACUAUGCUAGAGAGAUUACAUGAAUGAUGUCAUUUAAUCUUCAGGCCAAGUUUGCUCUACUUUACCCCUCCCGGCCCCAACACUCCACAGAAAGUAGUGAGCUACAUGGUAGAGGGCCUGCUUUUAUGUGGUGGUUAUACAUAACUCUGAGAUUACGGCAAGAAAGUCAAAUCGAACUGAGACAGGGACUAAAGUUAGUGUUUACAGUAUCAAUACUAUAAAGAAAAUAAUUACAUUCCCAAGGAAAAGUACAAAGAAAGGAGGUAGUGUCAUUUGGAAGAACCUUAAAUAUGCAGUGUCACUGAAGUCAGGGGAAGAAAAGAAUUUCACGGAGAAGGGCGUGUUCAAUGCGUGGAAGGCUGCAGAGUAGAUAAUGAAGAUUCAAAAAGGCAAAUCUGAGAGGAGUUGCAGUACAGUCGUGUGGUUUCUAGACUACACGGCGUUUCGAAAGUGGGUAAAGGCAGACAUCACGCGUCUUCAAGAAGUUCAGAAGAAAGAGGAAGAGUGUUGUCAUAGUGGGUAAGGUCAAGUAUCUUUGAUUGCAAAACAACAGUCGCCAGAAGAGAAGGGGCUAAAAGUUGGAACGAGGAAGAAGGCUCGGAGAAAGGUGUCAGACAAAGCGGGAUUAGCAAGAAGCUGUUAGGGCUGGUCCUACCGGGAUGAGAGAAAGGCGCAGAGGCCAGCCGAGUGGAAAGAGCAGCGGUGACGAACCGGGUUCCACUCAGACGUCCGACACUUCUCGCCAAGGGGCCAGCGCGGACAGCAGCGCCUCCCGGGGACCUCUGAGAAGCCCUGUUUCUGCGCGGCUCCGCCCGACCUCCAAGGCCGACCUCGGAGGCUCAGAGACCCAGGCCCCGUUGGCACUCACCCCACUGCCACGCGGCGCCAGCGCCGGACUGGCCGCACGAUAAGCGCGUCCCAGGCUGCCGCCAACCGGCCCUCGGGGGAGACGGGUCCCGGGGGCGCAGGCGCGGGCCCCAGACACAGCGAGCUCCAGAGAGAGCGCAGCGCCGAGCCUGGCAGCUCUGGCUCCAGCAGGAAGACGCAGCCCACGGCCAGCGCCAGGAAGCCCGCGUACGCGGAGCCGCGCCACAGCGCCAUGGGGACCCAGGCGCCGCACCUGCGCGAACCAACUCCUUUCCUAGCCCGCGCCUCUUCCGGGCUCGGCGCGCGCCGAUGUCGACACAAGCGCUACGUCACAAGGGUGCGCCACGGGGCCCCCCAAGGGGCGGGGCGACGGGCGGCGCCAGGACGGAGCGAGGGGGGACCCCACGCCUCAGUCCCAGGCCUGGCACUGCGGUGUUGCCGCCCCGGAGGAGGUGGGACAACGGCGGUUGUGCCAGUCCGGGCGCUGCACCCCCUUCCCGGAACUCUAAUCGUAUCCCCAAAUAGAGGGAUGGGAACACAUUUGCUUUCGCAGUAAAACGAAACGGACAGAUUGUGAAGAAGCGGACAAACCUCGCGUUAAUAUUCGAACCAGUGGGUGUCCCCAUUGGCACGGAUCACACCCCCAUCUUUUAAUCCCUCCCUCCGCCCGUGUCCCCUCAUUUGCUAGACUUGUCCUCUUCCAGGCCUAGUGCUCGGCGCUUCUGAGAGGAAUAGGCUCACAGAAUAGCGGCGCUGCCGAGACCCCUGGGGUACGCGAGGCAGGGGGAUUCCGCCCCUUUGGAAGGUGGCCGAGACCCUCAGCCACUAAAGGACUUCGUCGAGACAGGAGAGCCCGCAGAGAUCGUUCU